rnacentral:sRNA from 1 species
GGGGAAGGGCUGGGCUUACCCUGCCAACCCCCUGAGGAAGCUGCCCUCUGGCCCCUGUGGGGAGGAGUCAGCCCCUGGUGGGACCCUGCCCCCGCCCCUCCCUCUAGCCCCUCCAGCCCCGGAGUCUGGCCUUUGUCUUUGCCCUUGAGCUCUUGUUUGCUUCCUGUGGCUCCCUUAUUCCCCCAGUCCUGCUGAGCAACAUCUGGAGUGAGAGGGACACCCUGUGGAGGAGACAGACGGGCAAUUAUUUAAACCUGUUAUUAAUUUUCCAUUCAUCUCAUUCCUUGCCAAAUGUUUUCCCCUCUCCCUCCCUUAGGCAGCUAACAGUGAGUACCCCCCACCAACCCUUUGGCCAACUUGAGAGCUGAUGCUGGCCAAGGAUUGAGUUGACAGAGGGGAGCGCUUUGCUGAUGAGAUUGGCGGGAGCAGGCAGAUGUGGGAGCCCAGAGCCUUGUAUCAGUAGCACCCAGCAAGGGGGCAGAGGGCCUCCACCACCUUCCCGUUUGGGAACUAUUCUGGAGGGGCAGAUGUUUUGAAGCUUUGAAUUGCUAGGGACCUCGGAGAAGCUGCUCUGGUAGCUGAGAGAAAGAGGGAGGAGGCGACAGAUGUGAUGGCCUCUGUGCAUCCUCUGUCACUUCCGUGCUUCCUCUCUCCCCUCCCCCAUGCUCUCCUCUUCCUUCCCAGUGAGCAGCUCCGGCUCCUACAGCACUCCCAUUCCCAAGUCCCUGAGGCGGGCAGCACCACCUUUCAGGGCAUAAUUGAGGCCAACCGGAGGUGGCUGGAACGUGUCAAGAAUGACCCCAGGUUACCUCUCUUCUCUUCAACACCCAAGCCAAAAGCUACUUUGAGCCUCCUGCAGCUGGGCCUUGAUGAGCACAACAGAGUGAAGGUAUAUCGCUUCUGAGGCCCUGAGCAGGGGCUUGGGGCAGCCCAGCCUCUCCUCCACCCAGACCAAGUGCCUGAGGAGCUGCCUGCCUUCUUCAAUCUGAGAAAGCACCCUCCUUCCCCUUUUGACUUGCAGGAGCCACCAGGGACCAGGGGGUUGAGUGGAACAGUAAAGCCACACAUUCUGUGACUAUAUAACCUAUCUCGGGCUAAAAUGUGUGGACUUGUACGAGCUCUUGUCAUUGACAUGGCAAGCUGAUGGUGUGUGGUGGCUGCGGGGGUAUCAGGGCCAGGAGCCCUUUGGGAGGAAGGGAGGCGUUAGAGGAGCUGCCUUCGGAGGCUCAGGGAGUCCGUUUGGAGCUGGUUGUUUCCUUGGCCCUGCAGCGCACUGCUCGGGGCUCCCAAGGAGGUUGUGUGUAUGGUUCUUAGUUCAUCAGGACAAAGACCCCCAGCAUGUGUGUACCCUGGGACCCGGUUUCUCUGGGACAACAUCUAUCUCCAAUACCUCAGCCUCAGAUCAGACCCUUUCUUUUUUGUCUUUCUUCUCUUAAUUUUUAAAUGCCUCUUUUCUUGAGCAUUCCAUCUCUCUUUUUGACUCUCUCAGGAUUGGGCUUAGCUGUCCAGAGCCCUGCCGGAGGGUGCUGGGGGCUGUCCCUCUGCAGGCACUGUGUUUUCCUCGGGG